GUGAAUGCAACGUAUACACUAUAGAAAUUAAUAAUUGACCUAGUUAUUCGACUACUUGAUUAUCUGAUUCAAGGAUAAACAAGGGAAAUUUGGUUUUAAAAUAUUGAACUAAAUAGUUAUACAGGAGGAGAAUGAUCGAGAUGUAGAUCGUAAUUCAAAGUAGAGAGAUCCUGUGACAGCGAAGAAGUCUUCGAUAGAAUUAUUGAUUAAGAUGACCCGUCGAAUGAACCUCAAAGAAUGACUUCAUUUGAAUGAAUAAUUAAUGGAUUUUAAUUUAAGUAGUUUAAGCAAUUUGUAGGAUAUACGAUUAUAUAUAAGUAAUUAGUAUAUAAGAGUAACACGAUUAUUCAUACUAAUCCUUGUAUUUGACAGGGGGUAAUUUUAAAAUUGAAGAGUGUCUAGAUUUUUUAAAUGUAACCUAGGUAAUUAAUCAGAUUUAUUGAAUAUUCUCUACAGUCGCCACUGGGGUAAAGAAUUAUUGUCAAUAGCAAUAACAAAAAAAAUUUUUCUAGAGUCAUAAUUAUUAUUAUGUGGUAGGUAAGCGUAUUUAAUAUAAAUAGUGUACUUUAAUAUAGCAUUUUACCCUUAAACCAUCUUGGAUUAAACAAAUUCGAACAUAUUAGAAC